ensembl:lncRNA
CCGGAGAAUAAAAAGAAGAGUAAAUUGUGAGAUGUUCUGCCUACCUUGAGGGAGGAAUGAUCCCACUGAGGUUUUUAUUUUACAAGGAGUUUGGCUCUGCAGGUAGAAGCAGGCCCUGGCAUUAACAGUAGUGCCUUCUGUGUAAUAAUAUACUAGGGGGUGUGACGGUCAGGCGGUUUCAUUCAAUCGGCACAGCUUGAUAUAGGUCAAGAACUGGGAGAAACCAGUUCAGGAAACUCAAGAAGACACAGAAAGCAGGCUGGAUGCUAUCACCUAAAAGGGGACGCAAGUAUAUUGCAUGGCGGUGGGGCCAGGGACAGGGCCAGGCGGGCCCGGCCUGCACGGCCUCCCAUCCCACCUCUGGUCCCCAAACUUAGCCUCGCUUCCCUGUUGCACGAGUCCUUAAAAUGCCCUGUCCUUACUCUCAGCCUCUCCCCAAAAUCUCACCUUCCACCCCGCCUGGUAAGCCUCCCCUCCCCACCAUUCCCUCAUCAGCCGCCCCUCUCUCCCUUCCUCCGCCCCCUCGCCCCUCCCGGACUGGUCCCUCCCCCACGCCCACUUCGGGCCUGCGGGAGACACGAGGCGCCCGCUAGUCACGGACGAAGCCGCAGACCGUCUGCAGACACCCUGGCUCUUCCAGAGGCCGACUUCGCACUCCCGGGCCCACAAACUGUAGACAGUCUUCCUUUUCUGUUCUGCUUUAUCAGCUGCAGCAGAGCCGAAGUGGGGCGAGGAAAACCGAAAGCACAGAAGAGGAAACCCAUAGCCAGAUCCCGGUUUUGUUCCCUCACCCCUUUUCUUUUCUUUUCUUUUCUUUUUUUGGUGACAAAAGGGGAGGAGUUUCCAAUGAAGGCUGUUCCGCUUAGUGGCUUUGUUUCGAAUUCAAAUCCUCCCGCCCACUCAGCUUUUUUUAGGGUCACUUGGGCUGCAUUUUUUGACGCCUCAUUUGCAAAGCAAAAUAGACGUUCCCAAGGGGAGAUUCCCCACCACUGACUGUUUUCAGUUGUAGAUAAUGAGCAUUGCAUAAUAAGUAGAGGUGAAUGCUUUCUCUUCGCCUACAUCUACCCCUCCCCCAUCACAAUUUGCAUCUUUGUUAAGUUUGAUUUUAAGCUGGUAUGUGCAGCGCUGAGUAUGAGCGAUCUAUUAACUACCAAUGUUAAAAAAAAAUUCUAGUUUCACCUAAUACCUUCUUUAUGUAUAUUGGGGACAAUCAGCAUAACCUGGCUGUACUUUCCCUCCUUUAUUUGGUUAAAACGGACAGGGGGAGGGGGAGGUUGUGGAGAAAGAGCAAGUUCAGUUGAGAACUGUAAGAGGGAGAAUUUGGGCCUCAAAAUCGGAACACCAAUGGUAAUCAAAAAGGGAGUGAUCACUUUUUUCCCUCACAUUCUACAAGAAGCCUUUCCCAUCCCCCUUAUUGCUAGUACCUUUCCUCUGUUGAUUAUCUCCAAUUUGUCACAUGUAUUUAUAUGUGUGUAUAUAUUAUGGAUAUGUUUAUAUAUGUACUUAUCCUGUUUAUACAUAGCUGUUUGCAUGUUGUUUCCCCCGAGUGCUGCUUAAGACCAAGUACCAUUUUUGCCUUUCUUUGCAUCCCCAGGACUGUGUGGAUUGGCACAUAAUAAAUGCUUGUUGAUUGACA